CACAGCCACAACAAUGUGGGAUCUGAGCCAUGUCUGCGACCUACUCCACAACUCACGGCAGUUCCGGAUCCUUAACCCAUCGAGAGAGGCCAGGGAUCAAACCCACAUCCUCAUGGAUUCGUUGUUGCCAUGGAGCCACGAUAGGAGCUCCCACAUUUUCCCCAUUCUUAUUUAAAAGAAAUAUUUGAAAUUGGAAAAUUGAAAUAAAAAUAGAAAGUCACCAUCUACUUGAAAUGAUUUAAACACUUCAUUGAACAUUGCAUUAUGUCUGAACUUCCUAGUAGGCAAGGUAAAAGGGAAAUGGACUGGAUUAUUUAGUUCUUUAGACCUGAAGGAGCUGAGUACAACACUUUGAUCUGGAGAGAAGCUUUCCUUAGGUCUAUGCAAGCGUUUUCUAUAGAAGCAUGGCGAAUAUGCUACCCCAAAGGGUACUUUUAGGUAAAGAUGCUCCUUGACAUUUUUCCAAAGUUGCAAAUUGAUACAAGAAGAGAUGUUUGGUUUUUGUUUGUAAAUGAAUGAACUGGAGGGGAAAUUGUACCACUUCUGCACUGUGAUUUCUAAGAGUGAGGGAGAAUUGCCCCCUUCUGAAAGUUUUGAGAAACAGAGCAGAGAGGGGAAAACUGUUCUCACUAUCAGGGACUAGAGAUACCUCUUUUGAGUGUGAUGGGCUGGAGUGUUUGGGUCAUGGUCAUUGUUGUCCUGUAGGAAGGGCCUCCAUGGCAGAGCUAGGCCGCCUCGUGAGGGAGGGCGCCCUCUAGUGGUGAUUACCCCAAAGGACUGACACCCAGGUCAAUAGGGCUCUCGGAGGCCCUGCAGGCUUGUGCUGGUGACACCUAGGAGCCUGGGGAAGCUUCCACUGAUAGUCUUUUCUGGUGAACAGCUUUGUGAUAUGUUAUCACCCUUUCAGUUUUUGUGGAUUCUGUAGGAGGUGGGAUGCAUGUCAUCACCAUCGGUGGACUGUUGGUGCUUCUUCCUUGGAAGCAUGUGUAACCCUUGCUGGAAGGAGCACUGUGCUCUUCCUCGGCCCUGGGCAGCCCCGAGGGCUCAUCGCUGCCUUUUCACUAACUCUCCUGCCUCCAUUCGUCCAGCCUGCCCUCUGCUCCGCUUCAGCAACUCAGAGCGCAACCUGCAUCGUUCACCUGCUCCUUUUCUUCCCAGGGCCCCUUACCCUUGUCCUCCUCAGAGGUUCUAGUUCUGUCUUAUUCCUGUAGGACCCCUCGGCCACCGACUUGGACCCCUUCCCACCAAGCGCUGCUUCAGAACCGAGAGGCCACAGUGCAGUGUUUGAUUUGCCCUUGGGUCCUGCAAGCUGAGCGCGGCAGCCUGGGGAGGGAUUCACAGGGAGAGGAGAGGAGACACAGGCAUAACUAAUUCUUCUUCAAAUGUCGUAAGAGCUGGUGUCAAUUACGGAGGGAGAAAACAUUUCCAAUAGGACCCAUAGAGGCUUCACGAAGGAGACUCUUCCCUAAAGCAACGAGCGCUUCUCCCCUAGUGGGUUGGGAACAGGAUACAGGUGAACUCAAUAGCCAUCGGCUCAGCCCGUGCACUCAGCCCCUGGAGGACCUGGCAGGCCUGGAGUUACCAGUAAGACCAGUUUGCCUCGGUGGGCUGUGCAGACGCUGUUAUUUCCCCUGUGUAUCCGGGUGCGAAGAAGAUUCUGUGGUGCCGCCUUAUCCCGUCCAGAUUCAGGAUGCUCAUUCAGUGGAUGAAACGUCGUCAGAAGGCAGCUUGUCUUCUUGCCAAGCAUUGCUCAUCAAAUCCAAGGUCCUGCCGUCUCUCUGUACCUCACUGUCCCUUCUCCUGCAUCCUUGGUCUUGCCAGAUCAGUAGCCUUGCACGGCUCCCACCUCUGCCCAGAUUUUGCUUUUUUAUGGAAAACAUGUUUAUGUUUGAUAGUCUUUUAAUUUUUGUUCAUUGACUGUUUCAUUGACUGUUCAUUGACUGCAUUUUGCAAACUUUUAGGUUUGCUGUCCUUGGUCUUUUGGAGAAGUUACAAGCUUUCUUGAUGGGAUAAAACUUUCAUGUUUUAAUUUUUUUUCAUGUGUUCAAAGAAAAAUAAUCACUGAAGACUCAUGCACAAGCCAACGGAAACAGAAAGAAGUUACCCAGUGGGAGAGAUCACAGACCAUCUGUGGUACAGGGGUAUCUGGAUGUUGAACGGUUUGCUGAUGGUUUCGCAGAGUAUUGGGUAGUGGCUGAACGGGAGUGGCUCCCCAAAUCACAGAGCUCUAUCUACAACCUUCCUAGCAAAGGAAGUAUUUAUGACCAAGGAAUGUGCAAUGAGGGCAGACUAGACCUGGAGUCCAUCUCUCUCUUUCUGCCUCUCUUCUCCCAUCCUUCCUUCCUCACUCCUUACCUCUUCUUAAUCCACAAGAUGUAUUUAUUGGGAUGUGGUCUUUAGAAUCCCUUUCUUCUAAAUCAGAGACUUUUUUUAGGUCUCAAAAAAUAUAUAUUGCAUGACUACAGAAUGGGUGACUUUUUCAAAACCAAAUCCUGUCUUUUUAUUCCUGUGCAUUGAUAGAAAGUACUGGCUUCACACUAGGAUAAGAUGACAUUAAAAUGAGAUGAAUAAAAUGUGUGUUAAAUGGUUAUGAGAAUGAUGGGUCACCACGACCUGCUGAGACGGUGUCAAGGCUCAGGGCCGCAGUCCAUACUCCCUGCCUCGCCCCCCACCUGAUUUGAAGCCAUUUGAAAAAUGCAGAAGUCAGACCGUGGUAGGUUUAAAGGUCUGCUUUAUUACUGCUGAGAGGUAAACUGGAGAACUUGCCCUAGCUUUCUGGCACUAUUGGGCUCCCUAAUAGAGAUUCUGACUCAGCUGUGGGUCAUAUCUCCUAAGCCUGUGGCAUGGAAGGAACUGGAAGAAAACCAUGCACACUGCAGGAGGGGCUCCCAACGAAGCUGCUUGUCCUGAGUUGCCCAUCAGCUAAGUUCCUCCUUCUUCCGUGGGAGGAGCCAGUGGAGAGCAGACAGGACAGGAAGGGUGACUGAUUGAAGUCUGCAUGGAGGGAGGAAGGAGGACAACCAUUUUUCUGCCUCUAAAUGUGUUUUCAUGGCUAAACCAUUAGAAAAAGAUAAUUCUGUUUUCUUCUAAAGAAAGGUUAAAGGUGCUUUGGUCAUGCUUAUCUUUUUCGAAGAUAUUGUUAUUCAUUGUUUAAUGAAGACAAAAGUUACAGACUGAGUCACUGGUUCUUGAAUUAAAUAUUCAUUGGUAUCACCUGGGAAACCUGUUUCUAGUACAGGGUCUCAAGCUCUGCUCUCAGAGACUCAGUAGGAAGGCGUAAAGCCCGGGAAUUCCUCGGGUGGUCUUAGGACCAUACCUUGAGCAAUACCGCCUGGAUAUGCCUUCCUCCAUAACCAUCUGUUUCCGAACUCUUUUCAUAUUGGGCGCUCAUCUUGUAGCCAUGUCAAGCUUAUUAAAGAUGAUUGUUGGGCAUUCCCAUUGUGGCUCAGUGGAAACGAAUCUGACUAAUAUCCAUGAGGAUGUGGGUUGGAUCCCUGGCUUCACUCAGUGGGUCAGGGAUCUGGCAUAGCUCCGAUUCGACCCCUAGCCUGGGAACUUCCAUAUGCCACAGGUGCAGCCCAAAAAGCAAAAAUAAAAAAGGAUGAUUGUUUACCACAUCCCCGUUAUUAAUUAAUAUUAUUCUUUCUUAUAUGUUCACAGAGAAAACCUAGACAUAUAGAUGUGAAACUGUAAAUAGUGGUUAUCGGGGGAAGAGUUUUUCAUUAUUUUUUUCUACAGCGGUGUCUUUUGACAGUCUUUAAUAAUAAGCUUGUUUUUCUCCUAUGUUCAGCAAAAACGCUGAAGAUUCUCCUGUUUCGUAAAGGGGGAGGAAAGAGAGGAAAGAAGGAAGAAAAAGCAAGUCCAAUGCUGAGGUUUUCAAGAAAAAGGAAAAACGAUCCCUUCCUCUCAAACUUUACUUGACUCUUGGCCCUACCUGUUACUCAGAUGCAUCCUCUUAUUGCUAAACCAAUGGACUUUUGAUAAGUCCUUACCAAUUCCAUUCCCUCACUCCAGUCUGUUCUGCGCACAUCUCUUCAUUGUAUCUUAAAAUGUAAACCAUAUUACAUCACUUCUUUGCCUCAAACCUUUGUGAUUUCCAUUGCACUUAGACUGAAAUCCAAAUUUCUCAUUUUGACCUAUAAUGUCCUUUUAUAACGCAAUCCCGCUAAACGUCUUCAUCUCACUCCACUUGCUAGUCCUGUAGCCUAGUACAGUACCUGUCACAAAAUAAAUGCUUGACACAUAUUGGUGAAUUAUAGAAGGAAUGGAUAAACAGGGAAUGCAUAUCCCUUCCAGAGAGGCUAAAGUGUAGAAUGAUUGGAUUUGCUUCCCAAACCUACAGCUGGUCUUUCCCAUUGGUGCUGAUGACACUUCAGGGGUCAUACUCAUUUCCCAGGUUUUAUUCCUUCCUAGUUGAACAGUUCUGAUCUCUUAUGAGCCCCUGAAGUCCAGCUAUGUCCUUCUCUGACAUUGAAGUCAAGUGGCUGAGCUUAUGUAAGACAGAGCAGUGAUGAAGGGAGUCUGUCCAGGACUCCGAUUAUCUGCCUUUCUAACUGGCUCGAUGGCUUCCUGGUGUUUGUUUGCUCAAGAUUCAUGGGCAGAAGACAGAAUAUCCAUUCUCCUUCACCUCCAGUCCAUCCUGGUUUAUACCUCAAAAAUAUCGUUUUUUUUCCACACUGAGUAAAAAAGGGUAAAAGUCUUUUGAUAGGCCACCAGCAAGAUAGUGACAUCAUUUCCUUUUUCAGUAACUAUUCAAAAAUAGCAGAUUCUGUCCUUUUCUAAAUAGUAUCUGGAAUAAAAGAAAAAAUAUCCUGGCUUCGAGAUUCUAUUUGUGGUAUAGUUCACAAGAGAAAUUCCUCCUUUUGGAAAAAAAAAAUUGAUUCUAUAAUGAAAUUACUCUCAAGAAGUAGGUUGCUUACUGUAUGAGGUGAAUUAAUUUUUAUGGUGAUGGCAGUCAACACAGGGCACCAGGGUAUCAUUUAGUACAUUGGAAGAGGCAAUUUUCUGAAAAGUGGUUUAUUUAUCAUCUACUAAGCUGAGCACUGAAGGGAAGAUGCCAUGGUUGGCACCCACCCCCCAGUGACAGUGAGUGGAGACACUCUAAGUCAGGCCUUGUACACAAGCCUGAGGAUGUCUCUGAAAGCUGCUUUACAGUAAAAGCAAUUCUUUCCAUGGUUUUCUCACCUGCUGAGCUAAGUGCAAGAAAGGGAGUGGAACAGGAAGGCCACCAACCUGUGUCCUUCGAAGUCACCUCUGCAUGGUUUUCUGUCUUGACCACUUCCUGAUCUUUUAUUUCAAAGAUAAGCAGUUCCCACAACGUUCAAAUCAGAGAGCUCUAUUGGAUUAAGCAAAGGCGAAGUGGGCCCAGAGAUAUGUAGAAGCUUCAAAGAAUCAAUGGCUUAACCAGAUUUAGUAGCAGCACUGAUGCUAGAUGGUGUAGCAUGAUGCAAAAUUUAUAGAAGUGGCCCUUUCUCUUGUUUUCAUUAUAAGAAGGACAGAUUUUUAAUUCACCUGUAUCAAAGAGAAGACUCUAGAUGAUCUGUCAACUGUUCAUCUACAGAGAAAACUGGUGGUGAGUGUGGCGUCUCUGCUUCUGACCUCUGUGCCUUUCUUUGCCUUUUGCACUUCCCAACACUCACCCAGCUCAGAGGGCAAGCAACCCUCACACAAUAGUGAAACCUUAGGGAGGAGAGCAGAGCAAAGAGUCAGUGUCAAGGGGGCAGACAGGCAGCUUCUAGAGCUGGCACUGUAAACUCUCCUCACACUGCGAAUUCUCCUGUGGAGACAGCAGGCUGGAUUCCAGUGACCUGUGUCUGGUCAGCAGAUGUUCAGGUGGGCCGUGCACUGGGGAGAGUCAGCAUCAUGUGCUUGUUGUAGGGAGGGCUCGGUGCUGUCAAGAGGAUGCUCUGAGAGUUGUUCCCAAGAGUCAGAAAGCUGACCUCCUGGGGAAAAGCUACCUCACAGCCCAGAGCCAUAAGACAGGCAUCGGAAUAUCUGAGCCCCAGUGCAUCUCAAGAGCACUUUUUUCUUGCUGUUUGGACUGUUUUCAGUGGGCUAUGGCCAUCUCCCUGGAGUGCCUAAUGUAAAGGUGGCGGUGCUGAGCCUGGAACACUGAGAAGAUGAUAUCUGAUUCAUUCUGUGGAAGGCCUGUGGCUCUUGGACUCAGGAGAAAUCAUAGGUUCAGCAGAAACUCUAGCCUCAUCAACUUCUUUGUUGGGCAGUUCAUGGCCGCUAUGUUUUUGUUUAAUGUGUUUCUUAACGCUUGGGACCUCUUGAAGUAUCAUGGCAUGACUAUCGUUGGAUGGCUUCCUAUUAGCUAGUACAUCCCUCCAGAUUUCUGUACUUGACAUAUUAACUCACCUGGGCAAGUAUCAGAGUUUCUUGCAGUAUCCACUAUGGCGCCUCUCAUAGGAGAAGAGCAUGAGCAGGAGAGCCUGGUGGCUCUGGGAAGACACUCCUGGGGUAAGGGUAAAGAUGAUGUUUAAAUUUUUUUGUUUGUUUUAGCUUAAACAUGUAUUCUAAUUCUAAUUUGCAUUCCAAUUCAUGCCAUAACUGCAUCUAUUUACAAAAAAAUAUAUAUAUAUAUAUAUUUUCUCCAAAAGUAUUUGAGGGAAAUUCGAGAUCUGGGAAGAUGUUCCAUGUCUUUCCUCGUGCCCUUUGCACAUCCCCUGGAUGCACUUGCCUGUCUGAGAAGGAAGGAUGUGCUGAUAGUCCUUGUUUCCCUGGCAGGUUGCAUUUCCAUCUUGUCUGGCACAGAUUUAGAUAAAGGAAUGCAGGAUUGCAAUGAGUGUGCAAAUACACAAGUAGUCAGUACAGAAUCUGGUGCGCCUAGUCCUUCCCCAUCUAGAUGAAAGAGGGGAAGAAGAAGAUCAGUGAUUCCAAUGUAGAUUUGAAUCUUUCUCAGCAUCCCCUACCAAUAGAGGCCACACAUUCCAUCCUUAGCUGUGUAGAAGCUACACCCACCCCACUAGGGAAUCAACUUCCUCACAGGAGAAGAUGGGGAGGGGAAUGAAGAUUAAUGACAUAGCAUUUCUGCAGUUUCUCAAAGUACUCAGUAGCAACUUGUAAAUAAAAUGGUGCUGACUGUGUAUGAGAGUUUAAAUUUCAUCAUGAAAAUGAAGUUAAGCCAGUUGUAUUGAAAGUUCUGUGCAAUUUCUCCAUUUUCUCAGUAUACUUUACAUUCAAAAGCUAUCAUAGUUUAGCUUUGUUUGGGUGAUUUCCAAACAGGUUUGUUUGGGUGAUUUCCAAAAAGGUUAUGAUUUUUAUAUCCCACUAAGACACACAUGUGAGUGUUUAUGAUAUUGUUCAAAUUCAGAAACUAAUUACCUUUAAUGAGAAGUGUUACAAGCCAUACAUUUCUCCUAAUUCAACUUUCAAUAAGAAAGAACAGGGGGAAAUGUUUGGUAUUAUUUCCUGUGAAUAGAGAAAAGCAGGAAAUUUAUUCAAAUUUAUGCCAGAAUGCCUUUUUAAAAAGCUAUUCUGUCUUUGGGAUGCUGCAUAGGCUUCAAUGAUUAUGAACAGUUUUGUUUUCAUUCAAGGGUGUUUUUAAAAUUAAAGAUCAGCUAUCACCAGUGACCAGAAAACUUUACCUUGUCCAUAGCAGUUUAUGAAUGAGAUCAAAGGUAUUCAAGAAUCUUCCUUCCAGGGCAUACUGUGUUAAGAAGUCACUUCACCCCCAGCAUAUGGUCAAUUUUUUUUUUUUUUUUUUUUUACUAUUUUCAGAGAACAAUUAACAUUGUAUACUGAUGCACAUUCACAGACACCAUGAGCGAAGCACCAAACAAUGAGAGAACUAUUUUCCCCUAAGGCUCUGUUGGCCUAACUGUGAACUUGCCAAUAUUUCAUGUCCUCUUCAUCCAUCCAUGCCGUUGCAUAGCAAUUUCCUCUACUGAAAUGCUUUUUCCAUUUGUCCUCAUGGCAAACUCCCACUUAAUGUCUCUUAUUUGAUUUCCCUGGCACCUCCCCUUAGGCAGAAAUAAUCACUCAUUUCCCUAUAUGUGCAAUACUUCUAAUACACUUUGAAGUAUUUCUAAUAUAGUUUUAUGUUAUAAUCCAUUUUAGCUAUUGGCUAACAGGCCUCUCCCCCAAGCAAGAACUUAAUAAAAACAAAGACUCGUUUAGUCGUCUUCUUCCUUGCUUUUACGUGCCUCGUUAUUUUUGAUUGAAUGCCAGACAUUGUGAGUGGAAGAACAGAAGAGACUGAAGUAAACAGUGUUGACAUCCAGAAAUGAAUACACUUCAUGUUUUCUCAGGUUAUCAUUGCAUAUGGUUGAGCCAGUCUUGUCUCUGGUUGGGUUGGGUUGGGUUUGGGCUUCACUGUUACUAUAGUUAACCUUGAGUACACCAUGAACUUCAAAUUCCUCCCAUGGUGGGCUGCUCUUGUCUUGUGCUUAGAGUAGAUCUUGCAGUGAUGAUGGAUUUUUCUUAAUGUCCCUGCUCCAUCCUCAGAUUGCAGUAGCUCAUGCACAUCUGGGCCAUUAUUGUCCUUCCCUCAGCAGUAGAAUGUGUUUGCUUGCUACCAGGUGCUAGGCUUGUGAUUAGGCCCAUAGAGUUGGGGUUGGGGGUUGGAUGCAUGAUGGGGGAUCCCUCAUUUCCCAAUUUUAGGGAGGUCUUGUGGGCCUGAGCCUUGGGUAUAAGCCUUUCUCAGCAUGACCAUCCCUCCCUGCCUCCCCUCCCCUCAUCACAGCAGCCACGCUUUGAGUAGGAGAGAGCUUUCUGCUCCUUUUUGAGCUGUGACAGAUAUCUGCUUGGUAUCAGUGCAGGAUCGGGGGCCCAGAUGAGCUCCCUGCCUCUCCUCCCCUGGGAGAAGAGAGCCUUUGCUUUUCUGUUUCCUGAAGCUUGGGUCUUUGACUCUGCCCUGGGACAGGAGGAUUUCCUUCCCCACAGCAGCUGAAAGCUUGGCUACAUAUAAGAGAAUGGUCUGGGGAAGCGGAUGGGCAUUUGUUUUGUCUGGAUGGCAGCCAGUCGCCUCCUGACACCUGUACCACUGUUCUCAUGCUUUUUCCCUACCCUCAGUCUUGCACACAAUCAUACCACUGUGACCUGCAAGACAGCAUGGAUCCUUCUUGUGUCUGGUGUCCCCAGUUAUUCUGAAUUGUCACACUAACCCACAUUCUGUCUUUGAAAAUUCAUAAAAUUAAAGCUUCUUUCUUCUUACCAGGUUUUCCCAUACCUUGCCCUUGGCAGAACAAUCUUUGUGUCCCAUCUGUCCUCAAGGGAAUUUGUCGUUCUUUGAAAUUCAGUUCACUUGGUUGCCUUGUGACUUCAGCUCUCUGAUGGGCUCUGGAAAAGUUGUGAUUUUAUAGAUUAUCUAAACUUUUUUUUCAUUGGUAAGGUGAGAGUAGUUUUUUGUGGCUUUCAGUAACCCAAGUGGAAAUGGAACUUCCCUAAUAUAAUCUCACAAGUGCCCCAACAGCCAGCAGAACAUUGUGACAGAGGAGACACUUCUUCAACUGUCUGGAGACAUUUUUUUCUCAUUCAAAAAAAUACAUAUAUCGUAUUGUGGGAGAUAACAUAUCUCUUUAAUAUUUCUCAAUUAAAGAAGUGAAAUGGUACAGAAAAAUGCCUUUUGUUCUGUGGGCUUGAUUUUUUUUUUUUUUGUGAGAGCUCAUAAAUUAAAUAAAAGAUUUCAAACUUUGCCCAAUGACUAUUAAUCCUUCGGUCCUCAUAGAAAAAUGAGCCUGUCACCAUUAAACAUGCUGGGUUAUUUUUAAGUCAGAUCUGAGCCAAUCCUUUUCACUUGCUGCCUGAAAUAAGAGUUUAGGUAAAAUAACUAUGAUGGCUUGUAACAAAAGUACUACUUGACUAUCUUUCUGUCAAUAAUCAAAAAAAAUUAUUUAAAAAUGUGCCAAAUGGGAGAAGUCACCUUCUCCUGGUCCUCUGUGUAGAUCAUGCUGGAAUGGCGAACCACAAGGCUGCCCCUGGUCAGGGAUUCGCCUGUGUUCUGGCACUUUGUAGUGAUGGGGGAGGGGAGCAGCCUAUUUGCAGUGUUGAGAAAAAUCAAUUUUCAUCUUCAAAAGAUGAAACUACCAAGCAAGAUAUUGACUUAGAAAUAAAGUGUUUCUUAAAGACUUCCCAUAUCCUAUAAAUGUCAGACCCAAACCUAAGAUUUUGGUGAUUUAAAGUUUAUGGCUAAUUUCAGACAAACAUGCAUAUAGCUCUGCCUAAAGAAAAGAACUAGUUAUAUCUAAUUUUCUUGCAGAACACUUUGCUACCUAUAUACAGCUAGUAUCAGAGCUCUCAAAACCAGUCAUCUUUUUUUUAUUGAUGGGUAUAACUUGAUCCCUUUCCCUUUAUUUUCCAUUCUAGGAUUUUUAUUCUUCUUUGUCCUGUAGAUAAAUUAUUUCCCAACUUUUAUGAUAAAGUAUAUGUCACUGAGUUUGACAGACCUUUACAGGCAGCUUCUGCAAUGUAUAAUAUCCGUAGUUAUUUAAACUUUAAUAAGGAAUGUAUUAUGAACCAGCUACGGAGACCUUUAGUUCUCUUCUGGCCUCGAAGCCUAACCAGUGUAAUAUACCGAGUGGACUUGGACAAAGAAGACAGCAUUCUCACACAUUGUGGGAAUAAAGCACAGGAGCCUCGCAGGACCUGGGCUCACCUCCCCUAGAAGGAGCACUUUGGAGAACACUGAAGAGUCUGUUGCCUCUUUGCCUGCAGUCUUAUGUUGAGUGGGUUUAUCCUGAUUUGAAGCAUACAUCUGGAUGCUAUUUUAGGAAGAGAAAGAAGAGAAGAUGGAGGUGAAAGACCAGGGUUAUUAUUUUUAAAGCAAGACUCAGUAUUACCUGAAAGGGAUUAAUUAAACUAUUGGAUCCCACUUUGCUUUACGUUGGAUAAGACUAUAAGGUAUUUUCUACUGUUCACCUGGGUGGGGGGGGGCGGUGCUUGUGAGGAAAACAGAUCAGCUAUAGGUAAACUCAAGGAAUUACUUCUCUUCCCUUGCAAUUCUGUAUUGUGUUAUGAAUUAUAACCUUACUAUGCAUAUUUGAGAAACUCCUAUUUUCCAGAAACUGCCAGAAAUAAAAGAAAUAAAGUCUGGUUCCUUGCCUUGAAAAUGCUUUUCACAAAUAAAAAAUAUCCUGAUAUUAUCAUCUUCUGUCCCCUAAAUACUGCCCACCCCUGUUUUCACCUAUUCAUCCAUUUUCCGAUAUCACCCCCAUAGAGAAUAUAAAGAAUAUUUUUGAAUAAUCUCAAUAAAUAACUACAACUUAUAUGUGCGCUUUCUUUGCCCUAGACAUUGUGCAUCUAAUUUACAUAUAUUGUAAGUUUUAUCCCUUGUGACAUUUGUUAAAACACUAAAUGAUCACAAAGUAUGAUAGGGAACUAAUUAUUGUGAAAACUGGUAAAGAGAUGGAAAGAAUCGAGCAUGUCGCCUGCCUUGUCCCUGUGAACUGCACCAGUGGGUAAUCAACUAGCAGAGGAGGGGGAUUGCUUCUUUAUAAAAACAUAUUCAUCAGCAAAGGAAAAUUAAAUUAUAGAAUUAGGGUAUCACCAUUAUGCACCCCUCGUGAGUUAAUAGAGCUAUGUGUUGAGUAUCAAGAGGGCCAGUGUCACAAAAAGACAACCAGUUGUCAUAUGCCUCCGGAUGGAAAAAAUUGUAAGACACAACCUAUGUUCUGCCCAAAGGGAUUGAACCUGAUUCUCAUCGAGCCUUGGGAUCCCAUUGCCCAUUGGCAGCAGAUACAGAGGAGCGUUGAAUGGCACCACCAGUGUGCAGGCUGGGGGCAACCCUCAGGACAAAUGACCCAGCUUCUUCAAUAGAAUGAAAUGAAAUGUAAUGAAAAGAAAGAUGGGCGGGGGCGAGGCAGGGCCGUGAGCUGAGGGAGUUGUAGGUUAAAGGAGACUUCGGAACACGUGAACAUUUUAACAUAGGCAAAUCAAAACUGAAGUUUUGAUUUUGAAAUUCUGUUCCGGUGAUAAAAAUAUAAGGAAACACAAGGAAGUGAUUUCUUUGAAAGCCAAGAUGGGGGUGACUUUUGUGGUGGAGGGAUAAGGAUUUGGACAAGAGUGCAGAGGCUUUUGAAGUGGCUGGCCAAGUUCCGUUUAACUGGGUGGUAGUUACAAGUAUUUGCUUCAUAAUAAUAAACUCGUUAAGGGAUCCAUUUGUUUGAGGUGGUUUUCUGUACCUGGUUUAUUUUACAAUAAGUAUGACAAAAGUGUUCUCUUAAAAAAAUGAUUGCACAAGGCUGACUUCCCUUAACUGUUUUCAGUACCGAUGCACCACAAGACUGACCUUGCAAAAUAUUAAAAGGUACCUCAGUGAAAGAAUUCAUUCAUCACACACACUUAUUUAUUGAUUUCCCACGAUGUGCCAGGAAUCGUUCUAGAUGCUGGAGAGUCAAAGUUGAACACAGCAGACAAAAAUCUCUCUCUCUACAGAACUUGAAAUCUAGUUGGGAAGCAAUAAAUACAAGCAUAACUUGAAGGCAUUGCAGGUUUGGUUCCAAACCACCACCAAAAAGCAAGUCAUAGGAAUGUUUUGCUUUCUGUUUACACUAUACAGUAGGCUAUUAAGUAUGCAAGAGCGUUAUUGUCUAAAAAAAAAAAAAAAAAAAAAACAA